AGAAAACGCUCUUCUAAAAAUGGAAGAGGACAGACACAGAACAGCUUGUCCCUUUCCAUCCAAUUAAAAACCUCCUGAGACUGAACUAGAUUAAAAACAAAACUCUCCGGCGAAGCCGCAGGCCCUCCAAGAUGGGCAGCCUCCUACCAAGAGAGUACAGCCGAUGCCAGCAGCCUUGCCCCCAGACGGACCGUCCACCCCCCGGUAAGGAUGCACAAGAACUGCUAUUGGUGAUGCCCCAGAGAGGACCACCAGGCAGCUGAGGAGCUCGGGGGCUGGUGAUAAGGGGUGGAGGAGCUUUUCCCUCGGGACCUGUGAUCUCCUGGGUGAAAGGCGCUAACGGCACACAGAAGCAGCAAAGACGAUAACGCAGUCUGCAGUUCUGGUAUGCAUAUCUUUGGGGAAACAAGAAAGAAGGACGGAGAAAGUGAGGACUUUGCAAAGGACAGGAAGUAGGACCCAAAGAGUUUAAUCUGUGACUGAGAGCGCAAACACACAGUGCUUGAGGUUUGGAAGAAGCGAGAGAAAACUAAGAAUUUAAAUAGCUGAAGUCUAAAAAAGGGACGGGAUAGACUCGUUCUCUACAGGAAUUCACUAAAUGAUUAGAACUUUGCACUGUGGAGAGACGAAGGCUGAGGGGAAUGAGGUAUGACAGCGACAGUAAAACCGUGAAGAGUACAGACGAGGCAAACAAACCCGCUCUCUUUACCAGCCAGAACACCGGGAUGGGGACUGCGAGGAAGAGAAGGUGGACGAGGAAAGCUGAAAAGUCAAGGCGGCUUUUGCUUGGGACAAAUAAAACACGUCAAGCAACUGCUUGGGUUGUUUCUCUCAGUGUUUCCAGCAGUUAGUCCAGGACCAGGCAUGUCAUCAGUCAAUCUGGGUUGAAUGAAGAAAUAUCCAUAUUUGGGGGCCUCCCCAUGGCCGAGUGGUUAAGUUAGUGAGCUCUGCUUUGGUGGCCCAGGGUUUCGCUGGUUUGGAUCCUGGGCGGGGACAUGUCACC